rnacentral:rRNA from 1 species
GGGAGGUAGUGACAAUAAAUAACAAUACGGGGCCUUUCAGGUCUCGUAAUUGGAAUGAGUACAAUCUAAACCCCUUAACGAGGAACAAUUGGAGGGCAAGUCUGGUGCCAGCAGCCGCGGUAAUUCCAGCUCCAAUAGCGUAUAUUAAAGUUGUUGCAGUUAAAAAGCUCGUAGUUGAACCUUAGGCCCGUGCGGGCGGUCCGUCCUCUGGGCGAGCACUGCUCCGUCGCGGGUCUCACCUUCUGGCGAGCGUGGAUGCCAUUUAUUUGGUGUCCGCGGGAACCAGGACCUUUACCUUGAAAAAAUUAGAGUGCUCAAAGCGGGCUCCGACGCUUGAAUACAUUAGCAUGGAAUAAUGAAAUAGGACGUUUGACCCUAUUUUGUUGGUUUCUAGGAUCGACGUAAUGAUUAAUAGGGAUAGUUGGG